rnacentral:lncRNA from 1 species
UACUCAUAACACUUCAUUUGUCUUCUCUAACAACACUCAUUCCCCAUAACUCGAUUCCAGCCAUGAUAUGAUUAUAAUUUAUAACCUCAAAAGCAUGCGCAAAUAGAAAAUGAAUAAUAACUUGGACAGAAAUGAUUGUCUACACAACUUGACCACUCAAAAACAAUAUGGUUUAUACCUCAAUCACUUCACUCAAAACCACCACAAAAUUCAAUAUAAUCUAUAUGAAUACAUAUCGACGAGAAACUAAAAUUCGAAAGCAAAGUCGAGAGGCAGUCUCCACUCUCCAGAAAACCAAACUCAUACAGAUGCUCCGUCUACAGGAUUUAUAUUUGACAAAACCCAAAAUACCUUUGAAAUUUCUGAACCACGGCUUAUCUCUUGACCCAUUUGGUUGGAUGCAAGAGUUCUGCAUGCUUCUACACGGACACUGAAAAUGACCCGACCCCAUAAAAAUAAUACCACAAACCAUUCUUCUUCCACCAAUAUAGCAUCACUCCUAAAAGAAAACGAGCAUCAACAAAUUACACAUUUGAUAAGAUUAAUAAUAAUUUUCAAAAAAUAGAAGGAUAAAACUUUUAAGCGGACGACACAAAUUGUAAUCGAACAAUGGAGGACAUAGUGAAUGCAGUUGCUUUUAAUGUUCAUACCGUUAUUCUAUUAUGUUUUGAGCAUUCUGUCUCCAAUAGAAAGCAAAAAUCACAACAGAGUCCUAUUAUAGUUAUUUUUAGUGUUCAAUU